GCGGGCGUGGCGGAACUGGUAGACGCGCUGGAUUUAGGAUCCAGUGGAGAAAUCCGUGGGGGUUCAAGUCCCUCCGCCCGCACCA
rnacentral:tRNA from 1 species